AGCGGCGGACGGGUUAGUAACGCGUGGGAACGUACCCUUUUCUGCGGAAUAGCCUCUGGAAACGGAGAGUAAUACCGCAUACGCCCUUCGGGGGAAAGAUUUAUCGGAGAAGGAUCGGCCCGCGUUAGAUUAGAUAGUUGGUGGGGUAACGGCUUACCAAGUCUACGAUCUAUAGCUGGUUUUAGAGGAUGAUCAGCAACACUGGGACUGAGACACGGCCCAGACUCCUACGGGAGGCAGCAGUGGGGAAUCUUGGACAAUGGGCGCAAGCCUGAUCCAGCCAUGCCGCGUGAGUGAAGAAGGCCUUAGGGUCGUAAAGCUCCUUCGCCUGUGAUGAUAAUGACAGUAGCAGGUAAAGAAACCCCGGCUAACUCCGUGCCAGCAGCCGCGGUAAUACGGAGGGGGUUAGCGUUGUUCGGAAUUACUGGGCGUAAAGCGCGCGUAGGCGGAUUGGAAAGUUGGGGGUGAAAUCCCGAGGCUCAACCUCGGAACUGCCUCCAAAACUCCCAGUCUAGAGUUCGAGAGAGGUGAGUGGAAUUCCAAGUGUAGAGGUGAAAUUCGUAGAUAUUUGGAGGAACACCAGUGGCGAAUGCGGCUCACUGGCUCUAUACUGACGCUGAUGUGCGAAAGUGUGGGGAGCAAAUAGGAUUAGAUACCCUG
rnacentral:rRNA from 1 species